GAUGAACGCUGGCGGCGUGCCUAAUACAUGCAAGUCGAGCGAACGGACGAGAAGCUUGCUUCUCUUAUGUUAGCGGCGGACGGGUGAGUAACACGUGGAUAACCUGCCUAUGAGACUGGGAUAACUUCGGGAAACCACAGCUAAUACCGCAUGAGAUUGUGAACCGGAUGGUGCAUAAGUGAAAGAGGUUCUUGCUGUCACUUAUAGAUUGAUCCCCGCUGCAUUAGCUAGUUGGUAAGGUAACGACUUACGAAGGCAACGAUGCAUAGCCGACCUGAGAGGGUGAUCGGCCACACUGGCAGUGAGACACGGCCCAGACUCCUACGGGGGGCAGCAGUAGGGACUCUUACGCAAUGGGCGAAAGCCUGACGGAGCAACGCCGCGUGAGUGCUGAAGGUCUUAGGAUCGUAAAACUCUGUAAGUAGGGAAGAACAUAUGUGUAAGUAUCAGUGACCAUAUUGACGGUACCUAACCAGAAAGCACCGGCUAACUACGUG
rnacentral:rRNA from 1 species